AAGUCGUAACAAGGUUUCCGUAGGUGAACCUGCGGAAGGAUCAUUAACACGUUUUUCAACGUAUUCACCCACCGUGCAUGAUCAUCUCCCUAUACUGCUUCGGCUGUAUGGGCUAAACGAGAGGGCUGCUGUAUGAAGCAGUGGAAGAUAGUACAGAAAUGUCUGUCUCUGCUUGUUUUCUUGCAGUGUGCACUCUCACCGAUCUAUCACUUUUUUCACCUAUCCUUCAUUAGUUGACUUUUUUUCUACUGUGUUGCCUUGUGCACAUAGUAUCGUUUCUUAAUUGAACGAAAAAAACAACUCUUAGCAAUGGAUAUCUUGGUUCUC
rnacentral:misc_RNA from 1 species